rnacentral:misc_RNA from 1 species
UGUGGGAGCGGGCUUGCCCGCGAUGACGGCGUGUCAGUCGACAUCUUUAUCAACUGACAAAUUGCUAUCGCGGGCAAGCCCGCUCCCACA